UUCUGCUUAAGAUCCCUUAGUGGAUAUAGAUUAGGGAAAUAGAGCUAAUUCUUGGCAAAACUGUUUUUUAAUGCAACACAAACUGUUAUAAUUACCAUUGGGAAGCAGGAACAUUAUGGAAUGCCGAUUUGAUUUGCAUAAAAAUACAGUGCAGUUCAGCCCAAGUGGCAAUUAAUAAGUUAUCAGGGAAGACAGGAGACACAACAAUAAAUCAUUUUUAUGUUUUAAGUUAAAUGUUUCAGUCCUGAAUCUGGGAAGUAUUAUACAGCGAUUUAGCUUCUUAAACCUAGUACGAAAAGCCUAGCUUAGUCUCUAACUAGGGAAAAGAGUGAACAGCAUUCAUGUUGAAGUUCUUCUCAAACAAUGAAACAGAGAUAGUAUUAGUGCAUGGCCCUUAGCAUUUUUCCGAAAGUAUGUGUGGAUUCAUUCUAAUAGACUCCUUGGAAGUCAUCAUAUUUUUCUGGAAACAUCCAUGAAUUUAGGUAAAAUGUAACUUUAGUAAAGUGAUUCUCUAUCUCUGACUCUUUUCUGUGAGUAGAGAGACCUAAAAACCCAUGCAUUAGGGAAAAUUUUCUAUUCUUGGUUAAUCUUGGAAAAUGCAAAAAGGCAUAAGUGUCCAGAGAAAAGCAGGAAGUGGAAGAAAUAUUGAUUAAUGGAGCCUGGCUGUCCAAAGCAGCCCACUCCUCAGGGAGUUCCUGUGCUUCCAGGAAUACGUUUUCCUACAGUCAGAGGACGGUGGUAGAGAAAGACUUAUUGGUCUGUGAGUAAUAGAAAUUAAGCUAGGCCAGUUUUGUUGUAAAAAGGGCCCCUUUGACUUGACACUUCUGUUGUCUUUGUUAUUGUUAUUAUUUUUCCUAUUAUUCUGGUCCUAGAUGGAAUAAAACUCUCCUAAGAAUUACCAAACAGCCAGUUGUAAUGUCAUACCCAACUUUUCCCAUUACCUAAAUGCAGCGUGGGUGCAUGAAUAAAUACUGUCAGGUUCAUUACUAUUUUCUGCAAGAACAAAACUUACCAAGUUAUGAGUGAAUAUGAUAAAAGAAACUUUACCAAAUGAAAUAUAGAACAUUUGACACACAAUUUAGGAUCAUUCCCAUUCCUAACGUCAAAUUCCGUAUUCCUUAUCAUGACAGGGUCCAAUGUGAGUUGAGAUUCUACUUUCAGAAAAUGUCUUCUUAAUCUUCUCUCCUUAUCAGGAUAUUUUAAAAAAGAGAAUUUUUAAAAAUCUUGGAAGUUAUUGGAUAGUGGCAUGUCACCAACUUCUUUAACUAGAACAGUGCUAAUAUAAUAAAAGCCAUCAGGUGUGGGAUAUUUUAUGAAAAUGUUUAAUUCAACUGUUUCUUUGGAAUGUAGUAGUCAUAGUUUGGAAUUUAAGUUACAGUUCAGUUCUAUGUGGUUUUUAU
rnacentral:lncRNA from 10 species